CAUGUUCUUGUUUUACCUGAAAAUGUAGGUGCUGGUGGUAUACCAGCUUACCCCAACCCUAUUUCAAGAACAGGAGUGGAGAAGAAAAUGCAGGGCCAAGUUCAACGGCAGAAAAUGACAAUGGAUGUACAGGGCUUGGAGGCAGGCCAAGGCAGACAUCCAGGAAGAUCUGAACCCUGUGGGGCCAGAGGAUGGCGGGAGCUCUGAGGAGGGAAGAGCACGUCAUGGAGACCAUAAAAAAGAGACUUGCAAGGAGGCAUUCCUUCCCUCAUCGAAGGGAAAUGGGGACCUAUGAAAGAGAUUCAUGGACUCCAGCUUUGUGCUGUCAUGAGUGACCGUUGCAAAUGUAAUUUCAGAACAGAAAUCUACCAGCACAAACCGAGGAGCGAAUGGGACCUGAGGAGAUAGUGCGAUGAUUGGAAAACCCUCCUUCAAAUGUUGUUCAUGAGGCUGAAGAAUCAGAUCACCUUCAGGGUCAGAAAGAAGAAGAUCAAAACAUCUGCCUGGUGAGUGAUGACCCCAAACCUCUGCGCCAAGAUAACUGUGAGGCUUACCAGGUCCCACGGUAAGCCCACAGUGCCGAGGAGACUAUCUUACCCCACGCACAUGCGCAGACCUCACAGCACGCUUGUCUUCUUUUUUAGCGGGUCUUUCCUGCCUUUGCUUAUCCUUUUCAUUUUGUUUGCGUUGACCACUGUAUUGAUUAUUUAAUUUUGGUCUUGCUAACUGACCUUGUGUUUUCAUCUUUUACCUCUUGACUCUUCUUCUCCUUUCUAUCAUUCACUUUCUUUGCUAACACGUGAUAGGCCUUAGCCUCUAAUGAUAGAAGCUCCUGCUUCAUCCACAGCACUCACCAGUCACCAUAACCUUCACUACUCUCUGUAAAGAAGGAGCAAAAAGUUUAUGUGCUGAGAGACAGGUGGACACCCUGGACCACAUCCUAAACCGAGGAUGCUUCAGACAAAUUAUUUACCUGUUCCAGACUGAUAAGAAUUUUGAUUCUGAAAAAAAAAUCCUUCCGUUUGCAAAACUGUCCCAACAUAAAUCCUGUCUCCACUGGGAUGUUUUAAUAGCUUACAAGGUCAGUAUGUAGCUGCUUUCCUUUCCUAACCUUGUUGCUAGGGUCAAAGUCAGGUUCACACUUUUUGAGUUCUUGGCUGCCUAUAUCCAGUUAAGACUGGGCAUGGGUAAUAAAUGCCUUCAUUCAGUCACCCAAGUGACUACGUGAACGCUGCUCUGUAGGAGUAGAUGGUGUGUGGGGACGUAUGACAAUAGAAACAUCCCUUUUUCUACAACUUUGUUCUCUCUCCCGGAUCUUUUCUCUGUCUCUCUCCAUCCCUCUCUCUCCCUCUCCAUCUCUCCUCCUCUCCUCCCUCUCUCCCCAGACUAUUCUCUUCUAAUGUAUCUAAAACACCAUUUCAUCAACCAAACAAUUUCUCUUCUAACAUAUCUAAAAUGUUAUCACAAGCUACUGACUGAGGACAAUAAAACACUGCCACGUUAUUUCUACAAAAUAUAAAGUCCCCAGGAAACAUAAUUUAAAAAUCUUUCAUAAACUAAUAGUAUCCAAAAA